rnacentral:lncRNA from 1 species
GGGGUGCCGGAUGGGCUGCUCUCCCAGCAGCCAUUUGGAAGAUGCUUCCAGUCAAGUCUCAAUCUCAGUCGGUCACUGGUCCAUGUAUAUUUCAUGGACAUCUACCCUGUGCUGGGCACUGGGCAGACAACAGUCUACUGGACCCAGUCUCACUCUCAAGGGGACUGUAGUCCAAGAGAGAGGCAGGUAGAUUAUCAGAUGAAGAAACUGAGGCUCAAAGAGCCACAGCGGGACGGAGGAGGUGGACCCGGCUCUGAUGCAGCUUGGUGACGCAAGGUGAGCUGAAGGAGAGCCGCUUGGGUGAGGAUUAUGAAGGCACGGGUGCCAUGGAAACCACUCUGAAGGCCCCCUAAAGCUGCAGCUGUCAGGAGGGGCUGUCUGCUGCCAUUGGUCGGCCACGUGGACCCUCUCCCUAACACGAUGCGUGACUUUUAUUUAUUUUACUCUGUUUUGCAUCUUAUGCCUGCUCUCGGCUUCUCUUGGCUUCCUCACAGUCCUGGUGCAGGAUGCUGCCUGCAGGUCAGUAGGAUAAAGGUGCUAAUGUUUUCUGUUUCUCUUUUUUGAACUUCUGACUUUUUAGGCUCAUUUUCUGGUGCUCUCUCCUCCAUGCCAUAAGGCAGCACAGAUUUCAAGCCAUAGAUGUUGGAGGCAGAAAAUGGGAUUAUGUUAGACAGAGAGGGAAGCCAGCUCUUCUAGCAGGUGCUGUAGAAAUGGCUUCUGAUUUUGGUCACAGAAGCAGUCCCUAACUUUCCCUGCAAAUCCAAGAAGCCCUCAAAGGGGCCAAAGGCAGGC